GCCGUUGGCGGGGGGACGGGUGCUGCGGCCAGAGGAGAGUCCUCCCCCAGCCUCUCCGAGAGCGGCACGUCUCGCCUCCACAGCUUCAACAUCUGGAAGUGACACAGAACGCAGACAAUCACUCAGCCCAAUGUCGAAAGCAGCAUGAAGACCAGUGAAGACAUCACGGCAGAGAGAGAGAGAGACAUGUCCAUACCUGCCACUGACCUGCAGACCAGCCAGGAGGAACUCACUUUGCCAGAUGUUCAAAUGGCACACUGACCUGAGUGAGGAAG